UUUUUUCUCUGUGCAAAAACGUGAAAAUUCGAAAUGUUUAAUAUGUGGCAGUAUUCUCGCUGGUCAGCGGAAGUUUAGUAUUGAAGGCCAUUAUAACAAAUUUCACAAGGACGAGUACAAUUUAUUGUCGGAUUCUGAGCGGAUGGGGAAAUUGACUGAGCUUAAGAAGAGCGAUCUGACGAUACUAGAUGAAUCUGUCGUAGUUGCUGUGGUCACUAGAGAUCUGCGACUUCCUUUCGUCAUGUCUCUCAUCUAACUGAUUUAAUAUUUUAUGGAGCACUGUUUUCAAUUUUUCAGGACGACAACAAUAAUAGCCCAGCGGUACGUGAAAGUUAUAAGAUUGCGCUUAAUAUAGCGAGAGCUGGAAAACCAUUUGCUGAAUUACUACCUUGCUAUGACAUCAAGGGCCAUAGUGGGAUUGAAAUAUUUGAAGAAGGAUCCACUAUAAUAAGAGUCAUGAAUCCAUGGUGAAAUGGAUGAUGCCAAUGAGGCUGAAUUGAGCUAGCAUUUGUGGUGCACGUGUGUUAGACAAGCUGGUCCAAGUCACAGCAAAUGUGGUCGAGGAGAAACCUGAUAAUAGUCUGUGCACUUGUCUUUCCUGCAACCAUGGGAUUGUUUUGGUAAUUGCAAGUGGCCUGAGCAGGGUUGCCCACUCCUGACCAGCCAAUAGGGUGAUGCAGAUUCUCACUCAGCCUCUGUAAUAUUUAACUGAGCUGGAUGUUCUGGUAUGGUGGUACCCAAAUUUUCUGAGCUUAAGUUUUCAAGGGUACUCUACUGCUUUGUUUUUACUUGAUGUUAUUGUAACCAAUUGCCAACAAUCAGCAGUAAUUGCUCAAUGUUAGCAUAUGGUGCUGCACAUUUUAGUGAUUUGGAUUGAGAUCGAGCUAAACUUACGCUGCAGUGUUGUUCUCCGGCAUGUCAGGGUAGAAGUGUGCACAGAAUCAUCUAAGUGAAAAAUCCAGGCAAUUUACAUGUUUAUUUAUAUAUAAAAGGCUGACUUAUGAAUUUUCCCUUGUGUGAAACAGCUUAUAAAAUAUUGUGCACUGAUUUAAAGUUCUAGAUUCACAUAUUUUAAUGUUUGUAUCACUUUUCCUGUGUAAUCUUUCUUGUAUCAAUACCUGUUUCUAUUGUGAUAUAUUGUGAAACUUUGAACAUUUGUGAGUGCUGUGAUAAACUAGUACUGUUAUCGUUAAAGGCUUAAACUAAAUUAUGCUCCAGAAUGAGAUUAUCACUCUGCAGUGAAGUAUGUGCUGAUAUAAAACUUCUUGGCAGAUUAAAACUGUGUACCAGACCGAGACUCGAACUCAGGACCUUUGCCUUUUGCAGGCAAGUGCUCUACCAACUGAGCUACCCAAGCACGACUCACGCCCCAUCCUCACAGCUUCAAUUCCACCAGUACUUCAUCUCCUACCUUUCAAACUUCACAGAAGCUCUCCUGCAAACUUUGCAGAACUAUCACUCCUGGAAGAAAGGAUAUUGUGGAGACAUGGCUUAGCCACGGACUGGGGGAUGUUUCCAGAAUGAGAUUUUAACUCUGCAGCAGAGUGUGUGCUGAUAUGAAAUCUCCUGGCAGAUUAAAACUGUGUACUGGACCGAGACUCGAACUUGGGACCUUUGCCUUUUGUGGGCAAGUGCUCUACCAUCUGAGCACCCAAGCAAGACUCAUGCCCCAUCCUCACUUCCUUACUUCUGCCAGUACCUCAUCUCCUACCUUCCAAACUUCACAGAAGCUCUUCUGCAAACCCUGCAGAACUAGCACUCCUCGAAGAAAGGAUAUGUGUUCUUUAAGAAUUUUUGAGGGCAGUAGGUCUGUCCUCAUUCAAAACUAUGUUUCUCUAAUUUGAUUGUACAAUUACUUGAGAAACAGGUUAGUUUCUGAAUUUUUGGACACUUACAAAAGUAUAUUUGCAUAAGUUAGCCUUACAAGUGUUCUGGUUACACAAUUUAAUUCAUAGCACAUCAACAUUUGUGGUUCACAGUUCAGCCAAAGUAUACAUCACCCCUGAAUUUCAUUGUAUGUCAAUGAAAAUAAACAUGUAUUUUUUGAGGA